GGUCACGUGGGCCGGCGGGCUGGUUGGGAGGCGGUGUACGGGAGGCCAUUUUGGGGGCGUCGCGGUCGGUGCGGCUGGGCCCCAAGAGGGAGCCGCGCGCCGGAGCAUCUUCUGGCCUCGGUGGGAGGCAGCCUUUCCCCGCGCCCUGCUCCGCGGGGCCCCAGUCUGCACCGCUGUGUGCCCUCACCUGUGUCCGCACCGACCGGAUUGCGCCGCUGCCUCUUUUCACAGGGUGUCUCCCCGCUCCGCCAGCGUCCCGCGACCUCAGCUCGUGUCGCAGCCUGAGCCGCGGCCCCCCUCUCCUGGCCUCCACAAAUCAUUGUCCAGCCUGGAACCUCUCUCUCCGUAGGAUUUAUCUUCCAAAUUAUAUAAUUUAAUUUUUUAAUCGUAGCCAUCGUGUGCCUCUCGUCCUGCCUUAAGCUCCACUAGGGGAAGGAUCUCUUGUUUUGUUCGCCGCAACCCCGGAUGCUACAACAGGGACCGGCACACAGAAGGAGAGACUUGGUUAUAUUUUGAGAAUAAGCCAGAAGAGCUAGCAAGAUUCAAGAAAUAAGGGAGAGUGUGUGUGAGUUAGCAAAGCCUGGACCUAGAGGAAAAGGAAAAGUCUGUGGAACUUAAAUUGGAAGAUCAGAGAGAGGGAAGAGGAUAUAUGGACAUAACAUUGAAUUCCGAGACAAAAUACCUGGUGUGGCAGCCACGGGGACCGUGUGGCUCAGAUCUCCCUUGGCGAAAGAAUGUGCCAUUCAACUACUGGUGUGCAGGCAGCUGUCAGCCUCCAGGUACAUCACCUUUGGGAUCCAUUACAGUGUCAGAGCUUCUAGAAGCUGUCUGUACUCUGGCUCAUGGCACCUUCCUCCAUCUUCAAAGCCAGCAACGCAGCAUCUUCAAGCCUCUCCCACUUCCUGGCUGCCUCUUCUGUUGUCACAGCUCCUUCACUGACCUGAUCCUCCUUCCUCCAUCUCAGAAGGACACCUGUGAUUACAGGGGGCCCACCUGGCUAAUCCAGGACUCAGCUGGAAUGCAAAGGGCUGGGAAAAGAGCCCAGCUGGUGUCCCAGGCCAGCUCGUGGCUGCCCUGGAGGAACCAGGAUCCUUUUGCCCUCAGUUCCCUGCCCAGCCUGCCCUCCUGCAGUCCAUCUUCACUGGGUACCAAGUCUCCCAGCCCAGGAGCUUGCUUCAGAUGGGCUAAGCCAAGCCCUCUGCUGACCUGAGGCUUCCUCUCUGGCUUCCUCCCCAGUCUUGUCAAAGCUCAGAGAGAGUCCUGUGACAACAAGAGAGCAAGAUGGAUGUUGGUUCCUUUGGGAAGACUCGAAGAGUCACAAGGAAUCACAAAAGAGCAAAAGGCAGGAUUUCAUUCGUCCAUCUGGCCAGGAGAUGAGGCCUAACAGCCUUUUGCAGGCCUUCAUUAAUUUGUGUUCCUACACGGCUGCAUGGAGGAGGGCUGCUCUGACAUCCAAGGAACAAGAAAUGAACAAUUGGGGGCGUCUGGCUGGCUCACUUGGGAUAUUUGUCUCCUUACAGUUCACUUUUCAGCUCUGGAAACUGAGUGGCACAGGUCUGGCUUGAUAACUGAGGACCAUCUUCAGGUAUGCAUUCCAAAAGCAACAACUAAAACAUGAAACAUAGUACCUACUCAUCAGAAUCUGUGAAGGUCUUCUGAAGUUGUGCUUUCAUUUUCACCAAGUAGUUCAGCACGUCACCAAAGUCUAGGCUUCUACUGAGCUCAGGUGGUUGAGCAAAAGAAAAUGAGUAUGGGAUCCAGCCGACUUCAUUGGUCAGGGCCAGAUAGAGUUGAACACUUGCAUGUCUUUGAACACAUCAGCACUGCCCUUGUAUUAUUCCCCCUGAAGCUUUACUCGCGCUGUGCUCAGCUGUCACGUCACAUCAACAGGAAAGAAUAAUUUUAUGACCCAGUAGGGGUCUGGCAUGUUUUAUCUCUCAGAACCUUUUUAAUUAAUUCACUAAAGUCUUUAAGGAAACAGCUCAGUAAAUCUCUUCAAGUCUCCACCGCUUCGCAGUCUGACAGCAUUCAAGUAACCCCAUCUCCACGUUCUGUUUUCACCUUUUCCAAACAUACUAAAAACUCAGUAUAGCUAAGGGCAGAAACACAAAGAAAAUUCAGUCAGUGCCUUCAUUGAAUCAUGUGACUUGCGGAGCUUCCAGCCGUCACUCUCCUAAUGAAUGAUGUAAUGGAAGCCAGGGCCCACUAAUCGCUUUUGACAUGAAUAACUUGAAUAAUGCAUAGAAACCUUUUUCCCUCUGAUCUGUGUCAAGUGAGUUUAAUGUUUCCAUAUUUAAACAAACUUCUCAAGUUCCAUACUGACAAAAGGUUAGGCCCUAUUUGUUAACUAUGAACUUUUUUUCCCCUGAAAAUUUGAAGUGGUCUACAUUCCAAGGUCAAGAGAGUCCAAAUCUGGUAAAAGGGCUGCAGGACGGAUACCUCCACCCCAAGCUUCAGUGAUGAAAUGAAGUCAUUGUGCUAGAGAGCUCCCAUCCUGGUCACCUCAUUUUCUACACUCUCAAUAUGGCUCCCUGAACACAGUCUGGGGCCAAGAGAUCAACGAUGACAAAAAGAAAUUAUCAAUAAGAAAAGGCGGCUAUCGGCGACGGGGGACUAAGCCUCCGGGGGGCGGUGGGGAGGACCUCGGCCCCAUCCUCACUCUCCGGCCGCCAGCGCCCCCUCCCGGCAGGCGGGCGCACAGCAGCGGCGCACAGGCCGACGCUGCCCUUCCCGGGACUUCAGGUCUUUCUCUCCUCUCCCCACCCGGCCGCCCCCG